CAUAGGUGCUUGCACCUGAUGGCGAGUGGCGAACGGGUGAGUAAUGCAUCGGAACGUGCCCAGUCGUGGGGGAUAACCUAGCGAAAGCUAGGCUAAUACCGCAUACGCCCUAAGGGGGAAAGUGGGGGAUCGUAAGACCUCACACUAUAGGAGCGGCCGAUGCCGGAUUAGCUAGUUGGUGGGGUAAAGGCUUACCAAGGCAACGAUCCGUAGCUGGUCUGAGAGGAUGAUCAGCCACACUGGGACUGAGACACGGCCCAGACUCC
rnacentral:rRNA from 1 species